rnacentral:rRNA from 1 species
CCCCUAGUAACUGCGUUNGAAGCCCNUAAAAGCUCCAAUUUAAAAUCUGGCAGUCUUUGAUUGUCCGAGUUGUAAACUAGAGAAGUGUUAUCCGUGCUGGACCGUGUAAAAGUCUCCUGGAAUGGAGCAUCAUAGAGGGUGAGAAUCCCGUCUUUGACAUGGACUACCAGUGCUUUGUGAUGCGCUCUCAAAGAGUCGAGUUGUUUGGGAAUGCAGCUCAAAAUGGGUGGUAAAUUCCAUCUAAAGCUAAAUAUUGGCGAGAGACCGAUAGCGAACAAGUACCGUGAGGGAAAGAUGAAAAGAACUUUGGAAAGAGAGUUAAACAGUACGUGAAAUUGCUGAAAGGGAAACGCUUGAAGUCAGUCGCGUCGGCCAGGAAUCAACCUUGCUUUUGCUGGGCGUACUUUCUGGUUGACGGGUCAGCAUCAAUUUUGACUGCUGGAAAAAGUUCAAGGGAAUGUGGCAUCUUCGGAUGUGUUAUAGCCCUUGUUCGCAUACAGCAAUUGGGAUUGAGGUACUCAGCAGGAAAAAAA